rnacentral:rRNA from 1 species
AGUGACGGUACCUGCAGAAGAAGCACCGGCUAACUACGUGCCAGCAGCCGCGGUAAUACGUAGGGUGCGAGCGUUGUCCGGAAUUAUUGGGCGUAAAGAGCUCGUAGGCGGCUUGUCACGUCGGAUGUGAAAGCCCGGGGCUUAACUCCGGGUCUGCAUUCGAUACGGGCAGGCUAGAGUGUGGUAGGGGAGAUCGGAAUUCCUGGUGUAGCGGUGAAAUGCGCAGAUAUCAGGAGGAACACCGGUGGCGAAGGCGGAUCUCUGGGCCAUUACUGACGCUGAGGAGCGAAAGCGUGGGGAGCGAACAGGAUUAGAUACCCUGGUAGUCCACGCCGUAAACGUUGGGAACUAGGUGUGGGUCACAUUCCACGUGGUCCGCGCCGCAGCUAACGCAUUAAGUUCCCCGCCUGGGGAGUACGGCCGCAAGGCUAAAACUCAAAGGAAUUGACGGGGGCCCGCACAAGCAGCGGAGCAUGUGGCUUAAUUCGACGCAACGCGAAGAACCUUACCAAGGCUUGACAUAUACCGGAAACGGCCAGAGAUGGUCGCCCCCUUGUGGUCGGUAUACAGGUGGUGCAUGGUUGUCGUCAGCUCGUGUCGUGAGAUGUUGGGUUAAGUCCCGCAACGAGCGCAACCCUCGUUCUGUGUUGCCAGCGGGUUAUGCCGGGGACUCACAGGAGACUGCCGGGGUCAACUCGGAGGAAGGUGGGGACGACGUCAAAUCAUCAUGCCCCUUAUGUCUUGGGCUGCACACGUGCUACAAUGGCCGGUACAAUGAGCUGCGAUACCGCGAGGUGGAGCGAAUCUCAAAAAGCCGGUCUCAGUUCGGAUUGGGGUCUGCAACUCGACCCCAUGAAGUCGGAGUUGCUAGUAAUCGCAGAUCAGCAUUGCUGCGGUGAAUACGUUCCCGGGCCUUGUACACACCGCCCGUCACGUCACGAAAGUCGGUAACACCCGAAGCCGGUGGCCU